CUUGAUGACUGCUAUGCUUAUUCCCAUUUCAUACACAAGGACACAGAAGACCCAAGAGAUCAAGUGACUUCCAGGUCACACAGUGAUGAAGUGAAAGAUCAAGCUGUUUGGGCCCUGAGGCCUUCACUCUACCCACUGCAGGGGACACAGACAGCAGAGCUUCCCCCUGGGCGGUGUCGUCCUCUUGUUCUACCAUAGAAGUGGUGUGAAGCGGGGUCCACCCCUCCCUGCAGGCACCCAGCUCCUCUUGCCAGAGGCUCCAGGCCCACACAGCCGUCUGCACAGCCGGCUCUGACUUCCCCAGUCAGCACCCCAGGGGAAGUCCACUUGUGGUGGACCAGCAGGUCUCUCCACUCCACAGAGAACUUGCCAAGUUCUCCACCAGCCAGGCUCCGGGAGGCAGGCCUCCUACGUUCCCAUUGCAUAAGUGUUACUCCAGCCAGUUCCUGGAAUCGGAAAUAUGGCAGACCAUUCACCUGAGGGAGAGCCGAUGCCCAGGAGGGCUGCAUGUUUGCUUAGCUGUGCCCUCAAGGCCCUUUCCAGGGGACCAGCUUGUGAAAAGCGUCGUCUAGCAAGGCCCAUUUCUUAAGGCAAAGUGGCUUUAGUUUCUCUGUUCGGUUUCCCAACACACUUUCUCCCAGUGAUCUCUCAGACCCACCUCAGCCGCCUCUGCCCUGGGUCAGACCCCUCGUGGCUGAGUGCAAUUACUCCACGACCUCCUUGCUGGGCUUCCAGGCUUCCUGCCUCCAGCUCAACGCCAGCCUCAACAUCACACCAGGACUCUUGUUCCAAAUGCCAAUCUUAUCGCAUUAGGCCCCAGCAUAAAAUCUAUCCAUGGCUCACCUGUGUCUAAAAAUUGAAUACUUCUCAGAGUUCCCAUUGUAGCACAGCAGGUUAGGAACCUGACUAGCAUCCAUGAGGAUGCGGGUUCCAUCUCUUGCCUUGCUCGGUAGGCAGGUUAAGGAUCCAGCGUUGCCAGUGAGCACUCGUGUAGGUAGCAGAUGCUGCUUGGACCUGGUGUUGCUGUGUGGUUGUGGUAUAGGCCGGAAACCCUAGCCUGGGAACUUCCAUAUGCCACAGGUGUGACCCAAAAAGGCAACAAAUAAAUAUAUACAUACAUAUAUACAUACAUACAUGCAUACUUCUCCACUGUGCAAAUUAUCUACAAUGAAAAUAUACUAUUAGAAUAAUUUGAAAGAAACUAUUUUAAGAUCUGCUUCCACCCCUAGACCGCAAGUUUCUUGAAGUACGCAGAAUGUCUUUUUUUUGUCUCGAGGACACAGUUCAGUGCCCUGUCGAUGGCAGGGAAGAGGGCAAGACAUGCAGAUAGUCACUGUCAUUUGACUGGGUUGAUUAAAUCCCAGCCCAAACAAUUUAGCCAGUAUGUGCAGCCUUAUCAGAGAUAAAGAAACAAUUGCCCUUAUAGUGUUUGAUUCUGAGACCCUCUUUCUCCAUCUGUAGUAGACGAGAACUCCCGCUGGGGACCCAUUUGUUGAACCUCCCCCCUGUACUGGUGCAGACGAUGCUCUUCAAGCUGCUGAGGGACCCUGAUUUCGAUGAGCCCCCAGGACAGAACCAGGGAAGUGAGGAGGAGUUAGCGGGAGGACCGUCUCCACCCCAUGCGCUCUCACCCAUCUACCUGAAACUCCAGUCCAGCCUUUCCGGCAGCUCGUGUCUCGGGGGUCAGAUCUAGGCUCUGCUCGGAAGCCGCUCCGUGCCACGUAGCAAACCACUUCCCUUCUGGAGAUGCCGUGUUUGCACCUGUUCAUGAUGAGUUGCGAAAACUAAAUAAAAUCACACACACACACACACACACACACACACACACACACACACAUGCGUUUCUGUCUCUCCUGCGCAAUCAGGCACUUGAACUGGAGAGGUUGUGUCGCUCUCUUCCUCCAAGUUCCUAGAAGAGGCUCUUGAACUGAUUGGGUAUUUAGCCAAUGCCUCGGGGAAGGAAUGGACCUAAGGCCUGGAUGUGUCGGCACCAAUGACCUCUAGUGAGAACAAGGCUAAGGCUACGGGCACAGGGUAGGCCCUGACUGGGGCCUGAGAAAGCAGGCUGCCAGGGGAAGCCGGCAGGCGUCCAUCUUCCAGGCGGCUUCCAGGGAAACAUUUUAUUCACUUUCUGACUGAAUUUGCCCACAUUUGGGAUUUAUCUUACAGUUCCAACAGGCUCAGGAACUUGGUUCUGUGGGCCCCCCAAGAGCUGAUCCUUCCCUCCCGACGCCAGGAACGAGUGUCCUGGAAGCCGGCUUGCUCAUGUACAGAGGGCAAGGAGGCACCAUCACGUGGGCAUGAAAUCCACGCCGUGGCACAGGCAAGGGCCUUCUCUCCCUGGGGACUUCAGGGCUGGGGGAUGUCAGGUCACUCUCUGAGGGUUGCUGGGGGAGCUAGGGAUCAGGGCAGAAAAAUUAGAUGAAUAAACUGUCUCACAGCACCCAAUUAAGAUAGCCUCAUGUGAUUCCCCGCACACAGCCUGGACAGAGUGCCCAAAUUUCCCUGAGUGACUCUGCUUUCCUUUCUUCUUCGAAUAGAUUUGAGAUCUACAGUCGGAUUAAGAUCAGCUGACUCUCACAGUCCUGGGAGCCAUCCUGUCUCCUCGCUAAUCCUCUGCGCCUCUCUUAAACUUUAACUCUCAAAGGAUAAUCUUAUUUCCAUAUGUCUGAGUUCUCCCAGGAAGUUCCUAUGUGCUGGCAAUGGUGGUUUUCCUUAAGAACAGCCUGGUAGAGUGGAAUGAACAUCAAAUCUACAGUCAAGAGAGGAGGAUUAGGAACAAGUUGAGACACUUGGAUGAAAUGAACCCUACCUCAUCAUCUGCUAGGUGGAAAGGAAAUACUAAUAACUCCUCCUCUAGGGUAGUGGUAAGGGUCAAAUGAGGUCAAGGAUGCUAUCAACCCUGUACAACUUGCUAGUCAUUCUUCCUUUCUUUUUUUUUUUUUAUGGCUGUACCUGCUUUUGGAGGUUCCCAGGCUAGGGGUCACAUCAGAGCUGCAGCUACAGCCUAGCCCACAGCCACAGCAACACGGGAUCCAAGCUAUAUCUGUGACCUACAGCGCAGUUUGUGGCAAUGCUGGAUCUUUAACCCACCGAGCAAG
rnacentral:lncRNA from 1 species